GUGAAGGUAGAAGGCCUACGGGUCAUGAACUUCUUUUCCCGGAGAAGAAGCAAUGACGGUAUCCGGGGAAUAAGCAUCGGCUAACUCUGUGCCAGCAGCCGCGGUAAGACAGAGGAUGC
rfam:Phaseolus vulgaris cultivar G19833 chromosome 1, whole genome shotgun sequence.